ACGAAAAUUCUUUGGUGACUUUAACAGGAACUUCCAGACAGGGAAGUGGCAAAUAGAUCCGUCUUCAUUCAAGGAGAGGUGAAAAUUACUUAAAUAAGAAGACAAUCACAAUCCCUGCCGAAACUGUCUUCCUCCUUCCGAUUCCGCCCAGGCCAAGAGCAGGUUUCGACUCUCGCGAAAACGAUGCAGUUUCAUCCUAUCCUUAGCUGUAUGAGGAAACAGCCUUUUAUCUGAUAUAAACUCAUGUUUGGUAAAUGUCUUCUCAGAGUUUUAUCCUCCGUGCUUCAGCAACUAGUGACAUGUGGAACCUGUGAACUCCAAUGACCCAGAUCUGCGACUGGAUUUCAGAGGUUCCUCUGCUUCUGAGGAGCAGAAAACACUUCCUGAAAAAUGCUCUUGUCUUUAUUUUACCUUGUCAUUCCAAAAUGAUGGCUGUUCUACAGAUAAGCAAAAGAGUCACUUCCAAGCAGGCACUGGGCUUUGAGCAAAUCUGAGGUUGUUCUUGGGAGUCGGCGCUAAAAUCUUUUAGACGCUGCGCUACAUAUGAACCAUGCUUCAGAGGCCUGCACUGUGAGGAGUCAUUAUGAAGAAUCCAUGUCUAUGUCUGAACCAACUUCUCCAAGAGCUUCUCCACUUCCAAAAGCUCCCAGAUCACGGCCCAAGAAGUGCUUUCUGAGUCAGGCUUUCCCUGGGCCAAUUUAUGCACAGCCGGUCCCACUUUCCGAGUGUACCAUUAAAAAUAGGGGCAUUUCUUGUAUCAGCUUUUGGGGUGAGUGGGCUCAAAGUGUCCUUUUCAGGGACUAAGGAAGGGGUAAAUUUGCUUCUGUUUGAUUCGGUGCUGUCCCAGUUGUCCGAGUCCUUAUAGUAUAUGACUUUAUUGUCGAAUAAAAACCGCUAAGACAAUGUGUAUUUUUUUGAAUGUGGAAAAUGUUCUUUUUGUGUGUGCUUUUU